ACUUCCUGUAGGGACUGAAAACCAAGUGAGGAGAUGAAGGAUUGCACCGUACUACACCAGAGAAUACAGAGAGGAUAGACACCACAGAUAGAUCCUGACCAUCAUCCAAAGAACAACUGCACAACCGCGGGAAGAUGUCCAGUCCCAUCACAGCAUUGCUCAACACAGAGAAGGUUGGGCAGUGAAACCAUCACCUGGAAAUCAAUAGGGUCAGGGGAGCUUUGACAUAUCAUCAGACCUGAAACUGGUCAGUGGUGUGGAGCCUUCCAUCAGAACCGACAUUUCCGAAGGUUCGGCUGUGGGCAAUCAGACAGGGUGAGGCUGGGAAGUGGGCUCCAUGUGUGGUGAGAACUUCAAUCCUUUAUCGAGCCUCAUGAACCGCUGACUGUACAAGUGAGGCUGUUCAAGUGUGAGGAGGGCUCCACAGGCACGUAAGACCUAACACAGAAGGUGCAUCUGUUACAAGCGCUGUUAACACAAGAGCAGCUACAUGGAUGAGAACCAAUUCAAGUGUGAGGUGUGCGACAAAUCAUUCUCAUGUUUAUCUCAAUUCUGUGUGCACCAACACAUUCACACAUGGGAGAAACCAUUCAAGUGCGACAUUUGUGAUAAAGCUUACUUGACAUCUUCAAGCCUCCUUAGACACCAGAAGAACCACACAGGGGAGAAACCAAUCAAGUGUAUGGUGGGUGACAGAACCUUCACACGAAUUUCAGACAAUCCACACAGGACAGAAAGCUUUCAAAUGCGAUGUUCGUAAUAAAGCUUUUGUGGCAUCUUCGAAUCUCCUUAGACACCGGAGGAAUCACACAGGGGAAAAACCCUUCAGUUGUGCAGUUUGUGAGAUAGUUUUCACCCAGUUCUCUGACCUCUGAUGCACCAGAGGAUUCACAAAGAAGAGAAACAUUCGCAUGCAAGGUGUGCAAUAAAUCAUUCUCAUGGUCAUCAGCCCUCCUCAGACACCAACUCAUUCAUACUGGGGAGAAACUGUUCGCUUGCGAGGUAUGUGACAAAUCAUUCUCAGACUCAUUGACCCACCACAAACACCAAAGGAUUCACACAGGGGAGAAACCGAGGUGUGUGAGUUGUGUGACCGAGAGUUCACACGGUCAGCAAGCCUCCGCAUAGACCAGCCUAUUGACAUUAGGGAAUAACCCAAUUGUGAGGUUUGUGGUAAAGCUUUCCUGAUACCUUUGACCCUCCAGGACACAAGAGGGAACGCUUCAGGUCUGAUGAUUGUGACGAAGCUUUCACCCAAUCCUCCCAUCUACUGAAGGACUAGAGGAUCCAUAUUGGUGAGAAACCAUUCAGCUGUGAGGUGUUUGACAAGGCUUUCACACAAUCAGCAUAUCUCCUGGUCCACCGACACACUCACACAGGGGAGAAACCCUAUCAGUGUGAGUUCUGUAAUAAAGUCUUCACACAGUUGUCAAACCUCCAGGAACAUUAGUGAACAUACACAGGAGACAAACCUUCCAGUGUGACGUGUGCCAGGAUUGUUUCACCUACUCCUCCUCUCUCAGCAUACAUCGACGUCUCCAAUGGACUUGGAGCCGGGUCAUCUGCUUCCGUUGCACAGAGAGUUGUCUGUGUUGUUUACCCUCCAGUGCUCACACAGGGGAGCUGUCAUUCCAAAGCACUGUCUGUCUCAGCAGUGUCUGUCUCGAACCUCUCCAACCAUCAGCCCAAUUGUUUCAAGAAGGUCAGUUUAACCUUUGACUAGGUCACCAAACAUCACUAAAAGACAUCAAUAUGCAUAGAAGCUUCUACUUAUGCACAGAUGCCACUGUGUCUCUGGGAAGAUUUCUUCCAUCCUAGGAAGUAGGCAAUUCAGGACAAUGAGAGUCAGGAUUGUCCCUGGUCUGGACAAGAGGGAAAUACCUCGAUAGUUUCCACAGUGUGAUUUAUCUCCCUUCUGGAAGAUAGUUACGAU